rnacentral:rRNA from 1 species
AUUGAACGCUGGCGGCAUGCCUUACACAUGCAAGUCGAACGGUAACAGGUUAAGCUGACGAGUGGCGCACGGGUGAGUAAUGUAUCGGAACGUGCCCAGUCGUGGGGGAUAACUGCUCGAAAGAGCAGCUAAUACCGCAUCCGACCUGAGGGUGAAAGCGGGGGAUCGCAAGACCUCGCGCGAUUGGAGCGGCCGAUAUCGGAUUAGGUAGUUGGUGAGGUAAAGGCUCACCAAGCCGACGAUCUGUAGCUGGUCUGAGAGGACGACCAGCCACACUGGGACUGAGACACGGCCCAGACUCCUACGGGAGGCAGCAGUGGGGAAUUUUGGACAAUGGGCGAAAGCCUGACGCAGCCAUGCCGCGUGCGGGAAGAAGGCCUUCGGGUUGUAAACCGCUUUUGUCAGGGAAGAAAAGGUUCUGGCUAAUACCUGGGACUCAUGACGGUACCUGAAGAAUAAGCACCGGCUAACUACGUG